CCAAGACUAUGAUGUGUAGCCGGGCUGAGAGGUUGAACGGCCACAUUGGGACUGAGACACGGCCCAAACUCCUACGGGAGGCAGCAGUAGGGAAUUUUCGGCAAUGGAGGAAACUCUGACCGAGCAACGCCGCGUGAACGAUGAAGUAUUUCGGUACGUAAAGUUCUUUUAUUAGGGAAGAAUAAAUGAUGGAAAAAUCAUUCUGACGGUACCUAAUGAAUAAGCCCCGGCUAACUAUGUGCCAGCAGCCGCGGUAAUACAUAGGGGGCAAGCGUUAUCCGGAAUUAUUGGGCGUAAAGGGUGCGUAGGCGGUUAAAUAAGUUUAUGGUCUAAGUGCAAUGCUUAACAUUGUGAUGCUAUAAAAACUGUUUAGCUAGAGUAAGAUAGAGGCAAGUGGAAUUCCAUGUGUAGUGGUAAAAUGCGUAAAUAUAUGGAGGAACACCAGUAGCGAAGGCGGCUUGCUGGGUCUUUACUGACGCUGAGGCACGAAAGCGUGGGGAGCAAACAGGAUUAGAUACCCUGGUAGUCCACGCCGUAAACGAUGAGUACUAAAUGUUGGGUAAAACCAGUGUUGAAGUUAACACAUUAAGUACUCCGCCUGAGUAGUACGUACGCAAGUAUGAAACUUAAAGGAAUUGACGGGACUCCGCACAAGCGGUGGAUCAUGUUGUUUAAUUCGAAGGUACCCGAAAAACCUCACCAGGUCUUGACAUGCUUCUGCAAAGCUGUAGAAACACAGUGGAGGUUAUCAGUUGCACAGGUGGUGCAUGGUUGUCGUCAGCUCGUGUCGUGAGAUGUUGGGUUAAGUCCCGCAACGAGCGCAACCCUUAUUGUUAGUUGCCAGCACGUAAUGGUGGGGACUUUAGCAAGACUGCCAGUGAUAAAUUGGAGGAAGGUGGGGACGACGUCAAAUCAUCAUGCCCCUUAUGACCUGGGCUACAAACGUGAUACAAUGGCUGUUACAAA
rnacentral:rRNA from 1 species